UACGUAGGGUGCGAGCGUUAAUCGGAAUUACUGGGCGUAAAGCGUGCGCAGGCGGUUUUUUAAGAUAGGCGUGAAAUCCCCGGGCUCAACCUGGGAACUGCGCUUAUGACUGGAAGACUAGAGUAUGGCAGAGGGGGGUGGAAUUCCACGUGUAGCAGUGAAAUGCGUAGAGAUGUGGAGGAACACCGAUGGCGAAGGCAGCCCCCUGGGCCAAUACUGACGCUCAUGCACGAAAGCGUGGGGAG
rnacentral:rRNA from 1 species